GACGAACGCUGGCGGCGUGCCUAAUACAUGCAAGUUGAGCGCUGAAGGUUGGUACUUGUACCAACUGGAUGAGCAGCGAACGGGUGAGUAACGCGUGGGGAAUCUGCCUUUGAGCGGGGGACAACAUUUGGAAACGAAUGCUAAUACCGCAUAAAAACUUUAAACACAAGUUUUAAGUUUGAAAGAUGCAAUUGCAUCACUCAAAGAUGAUCCCGCGUUGUAUUAGCUAGUUGGUGAGGUAAAGGCUCACCAAGGCGAUGAUACAUAGCCGACCUGAGAGGGUGAUCGGCCACAUUGGGACUGAGACACGGCCCAAACUCCUACGGGAGGCAGCAGUAGGGAAUCUUCGGCAAUGGACGAAAGUCUGACCGAGCAACGCCGCGUGAGUGAAGAAGGUUUUCGGAUCGUAAAACUCUGUUGAUAGAGAAGAACGUUGGUGAGAGUGGAAAGCUCAUCAAGUGACGGUAACUACCCAGAAAGGGACGGCUAACUACGUGCCAGCAGCCGCGGUAAUACGUAGGUCCCGAGCGUUGUCCGGAUUUAUUGGGCGUAAAGCGAGCGCAGGUGGUUUAUUAAGUCUGGUGUAAAAGGCAGUGGCUCAACCAUUGUAUGCAUUGGAAACUGGUAGACUUGAGUGCAGGAGAGGAGAGUGGAAUUCCAUGUGUAGCGGUGAAAUGCGUAGAUAUAUGGAGGAACACCGGUGGCGAAAGCGGCUCUCUGGCCUGUAACUGACACUGAGGCUCGAAAGCGUGGGGAGCACACAGG
rnacentral:rRNA from 1 species